UGUAGUGGCAAGAGUGUGAAGUGAAUGUGUCACUGACUGUGUGUCCUGUCAUCUCUGGUGCAGUUUGCCCAGAGGAGUGGACGUGGAUGCACAGGGUAGUGUUAACGGAAUCCCUGUGUUGGAGGUCGACGUGGAGUCUUUUGAGGAAAAGCCAUGGAGAAAGCAUGACUCGCACUUCUUGGACUACUUUAACUAUGGCUUUAACGAGGACUCCUGGAAAGCCUACUGUGAGAACCAGAGGAGACUAGCAUGGGGUAUAAGGUCAUGAACCACGCUUCAGCCACUAAACUCAUGGUCCAGGAAUGGGACCUUCCCUGCUUUAGAUCUGACUACUCCUCCCCCAGCAACUACUACAAAUCAGCCUUGUCCAGUAGAAAGACAAGCGGCACCACCAAUGUUAUUGGAGGACAAACUGGUACCAUCAGCUGGGUAGAGGAACAGAGACGUCACAAUAUAGAAGGAAAUAACAUCCAGGUGCUUUCCAAGCCAUCUGACGCUGAGCCUACUCCCACUAAGAUGCCCCCUUUCUUCCCCCCGCCUCCAUUCCCGCAUCCACCCUACAAUGUCAACUCCGCCCCUCCACUCAUUCCUCCACCACGUAAAUUACCUCAGCCCCUCACAGACAAACACACACACACACACACAAACAUUGCUCUCUGUCUGUGUGCCCUCUGUUCAGCAGAACAGUUAUGCAAUAUAAAUGGCAAGGUUAUGGAUUGAAUAAAGACACUGCUUGAAGGUCAUGGGUCAGACAGACAGACUGGUGAGUCACGGGAUGUCAUGGAAAAAGGGCGUUCAACUAUGACACUCUCUCCCUCUCUCUCAUUACAGUAAUGUAUCUCGACAAUCGAUACCUCGAAUAUCCUUCAACUCUUGUCAAUGUAAAAAGGGCCUUACUUUCAUUGUGUGGGUGCAUCAUUAGUACAGUUGAGGGGUUUGAGGGACCAGAUGAAAGUGUAACCCAGAGAGUUGCAGGUGCAAUUCCCAUGUUGGGAACCCAUGAAGGACAGGCACCAUAAGUGGUAAUAAAUAACACUGCAUUUUGAAGGACAUGUUUAGGAUUUGGAGGUGAAUGCAGAUGGGUUUACAUAAACAUGUGAGUGUGUGUACAUUUGUGUGCACAUGGUCAUGAGUGUGCACUCUAUGGGUGAGUGUCUUUUUCCCCAGGUGUGUGUAAUUCUCUCCAGGUGUGUGGGUGCCAGUGCUGUCAGUCUGUCGGACUUCCUCCUCAUCGCCUGAUGAAUAUGGCAGGAAGUCCCCCCUGGCCUGAGCUUACAGCUGAGCGCAGGCUGCCAUCGCUUCAUCUUCAAAGAUUCCAAAAUAGCAUCCCUCACACACUCCCAGCACCUCCUAAGUUCAAUGAGCCCGGUACCGACAUGUUGUUCAACCUGUGCCAAAUAUCCUAAUACAACCAAAAUAUCAAACAUCCUGUCGACCCGGCAAACCUGGCUUUCCUUCUUUAAGUUACAGGCUCUGCCUCCUUUUGUGAUGCAAAUGUUCAACAUGAUAAAAAUAGCUUCUGGAAGAAAAGUAAAAGUGCAGAGCCAGCAGAUUGGAGUGAGAGAGAGAGAGAGAGAGAGCUUUGUUACUCUUGGUACAGUAGGGUCACAUUAGUGGUGUAGUAUUAUUGCUUGAUAGGGCCAGGUUUUAGCGUGGGGUUGUGUUGUCAUUGCAGGCCAGUCUGUGUAGUGAAACACUAAGGGAUGUUGUCUGGAGCUCUAGUGUAGAACUGGUGGUACUGAUCAGUGUAGUUUGGCACAUACAUUGUGGUUAGUUUGACACCUGUACUGACUGAUAUGGCUGUUUGAGGUCUUGGAAUUUGAGGUUACGGUAAUUGGCCAGGCCAAUGUACAGACACCAACAUAAUCGUUCAAGGAAAUGUAUAUGCUUCCUAAUAAAACCUAUUUGAAACAAGCCAUUACACUUUGUUAUCAUCAUGGCGUUUCAUUACUAUUAUUCAGGUUAUUACUUUUAAAUAUGAAUCAACAAAUUAAGAAAUGCCAACUUGGGGAGGAUCUGUGGGAU